rnacentral:lncRNA from 1 species
GUCCGUGUUAAUCAGAGGGGAAGGAGACAGAUCCUAAGAUCGUAUUGGCAGGUGCAAAAAAAGGUGUCUUUCAGAAUCCAGCAUCCACUCAUGAUUUUUACAUUUAAAGAUUACAAGGCCAAUGUUCCUUAUCCAAUAAAGAAUAUCUCCUGCCGCCUGUUAGCCACGCUCGUAUUUAAUUGUACAGUGUUUGAAACAAAGUUUUCCCCAAGAGUGGGAACGCACACCCUCUCAGCACUCGUAUUGAAUACAGCACAGUGAGAGUCGGAAAGAAAUACGACAUAGAAAGACCCAGGAGGAAUACAGAACUAAGAGGCUGCAGAACUCGGAGAAGCGGAGUGCGAAUUUCCUCGUUUCGUGAGGCCAGAGGCUCUGCUGUGAAGCCAGCAGUUCUCCCCUGGUGGCCCGCAGGUCACACUACGCUCUUUCCUCCCGAGAGAUCUCAGCUCGGUUCCCCUGAGCCAUUAGCACGUGACCCAGAGCUGUGUCCGUUGUGGGGAUCCUGGGGCCGUGCCACUCCCCUGUGGCCACGGGAGACCCAGCGUGGAAGCCGUACAGCAGGGCUCUUGUUGCGGUGGCGCGCCUACAUAGGCCCACAGUGUGAGGGGAAAAUGGCACACCGGACUCCACUGAGAUGCAGAAGUUCUGUUCAUCAAGAACGCCCUGCCUUGCGAGAGUCGAGGGGCAGCCACAGAGAAGGAGAAGGUACUGACACUCGGCUGCCUGACACACAUGGAUGGAGGGCAUGCGUCCCUUCUCAGUAAGAAAAAGAGACACUGAUGGAAGAUGGCACCAGGGUGGACUUUUCACAAACCGGGAUGAUUCGACUGUUGGCUCGCCAUGGAAACAAUCGCAGUGGCGCUCAGGUUCCCUGGUCAGCAGGGAAAUGCAAAGCUGAAGCCUGAGGCAGCUAACCAGUCACCAACCGGAAUGGCCCAGUUGGAAAAGGAGAACACGGCCAGUGGGGCGGUGAGACCAGGGAGGGAGCGGCUGGGUCGCCCAGGGCUCCCUGAGGUCUCGUGAUC